rnacentral:tRNA from 1 species
GCUUUGGUGUAUGUUGCAUAUGAAAUUUUGAUUUUCAUGGGCUUAAUUAAAUUUUAAGGAGCAUAA